CUCAUUCAGGUCUAGUCAUGAGGGUAACAUUAAGGGAAAGAGAAAUUAUUAACAACAAAAUGAAUGCCCCUGUCAUGGUGGGUAUAAACCCCCUACAUGGUUCCCAGACCGUGUGGGGUCUGCCCACCAACAAGUCCCAGCGGGGUGGCACAUCCCAGUGGCAAAGGUCACCCAGAGCAUCGCGUUUGGGCAAAAGAAGAAGGUGGGAGAUAGCUCACAUCUCCCUGUUCUGUGUGACGUUAUUCAGCUGCAAACUUAGCAGACGAUUUACCCUGGGAAUGUCUUUGUGUGUGCAACUUCUGUGUGAAGAGACAAGGAAGGGGCAAUCCUGGAGCCAGGGACCUGAGCUGAAGAACCUCCAUGAAUCCCUGGGAUCAUCCAGGCAGAAUUUAUUUAAAGAAACUGCAGAAGCACAAGCUUUAGAAGACAAUUUCUUUUUCCCAGGAAUGCUAUAUUUUAGAGAAAAAAAAAAAAUAACUGUAAAAUGAAGAUGGCCUGAUUUGAUGAAGUCAGCAGAGCUGUAGGCAGGACGAAGACCAUGCUCUCCACAGCAGUCUCCAAUUCAUCACCAGAGCCAGCUGGUAAAUAUUUGCUUCUUCUAGUGAUCAGCUGAAAGGUUCCCCCAUUCCCACAAUACUAUUAUCUUUGCAAAUUACUUUUAUUCUACUGAAAAGCAAAAAGCUAAAUCCAGACUGUUUUUAAUUGAAAACAAAGAGAAGAAAAGGAAAAAGGCUUUAAAAAUAAUAAAGCCAUGGGCUGUACUUUAAAUAAGUACUUUCUAAUUUACCCCUAUGUAGUUUCAUACUUAAAAAACUCUGAUAACAGGGUAUUUCUGUGUAAUGCUAUCUAUCCUCUGCUGGGCAAAUUGAUCCUAUCAGAGCCAAGUGGAUUCUCAGGGCAGAGGUGAGCAGCUCUUAGCUUUUCUUCCUUCUCCAGCAGAAACUGGAAGCUCCACCAUGCCCCACAAUACAGCCAUGAUUUGGGGUGUUUGCACAGGACUAGGGCAUCCAUCGCAAACUGGGGGUGCAUGGACAGAGCUAAGCGGGGCAUUGGGAUCCCUGGCGGCCUGAAACUACAUCGCUCUGGCCUUUGCUCUGGGUGACUGAGGCACACAAGGACAAGCAAGUAGCUGUGUUCUUGGCAGGUCCCAGAGGACUGACAUUUGGGGAAAACAACCAGGCUGAGCGUGGUGCAGUACUGGAAAGGUUCUCAGAGAGGUCCCGGUUCCUCCAUCCUCUGGGGAUGCUCAGCUCGAUGCACAAAGCCCGGCUUGCCGCUGAACUUGGCCUCUCCAGGAGCAGAGGCUUGAUCAGAGCCCUCUGCACAUGCCUGCCAGCCCCUGGCUCUGCAAUGCUCGGGGCCCUUUGUCCCAGCACAGCUCCGUGGGGGCCAGCAGCGGGCCACUUUCAGACCCGGGGGACCCCAAAACCUUUGGUGCUGGCUGCCACCAGGAGAGCUCUGCCCCCAGCAGUCACUAAUGCCCGCUUCUCAGAGCACUUCGAGUUUUCCUUGAGGAGGAAGGCGGUGUUCAAAGCCUUUCCAAAUUAUACAGAGGCCUUUGUUAUUUCAAGAGACUUUCACUCCCCCCUUCUCCGUUUGACUUUGUUACCUGAUGCUCGAGGAAUGCAUUUUCCCCUCUAUUAAAUGUUUUAACCGUGUACGAGUUCCAUCUUAAUGUUAGCAUCUUUAAUAGUAGAAUAUUACCAUAUUAAUUGCUAUUGUGAACCAGAAGAUACUUAUAUCAUCCCGGCUUUCAUUACCGUCAUGGAGGGAUUUUUCCUACUGAGUCAAAAGUGACCACUUUCCUUAAUCCCCUGUUGAAAAGCCCCGCGGUUCCUCCUGACGAGCCUCGGACGAGGGGUGGGCAGCCUUUUCCCAGGGCCCAACUUGGAAUCCCAGGCAUUAAUUUCCCAGGGACCUUUCCCCAACCUGCUGCGGGUUUCCCGGCAGGCGGGUGGUGGGGCAGUGCGUUUUUUAGCAAUUAAGAGGCAGCCGCCCCCCAACACCCCUCCCCCUUGGGCCUCCCCUGCCCGUGGCGGGGAAGGGAGGACAAGGGGGAAUUAGCCGGGAGAACAAUAGGGAUUCAA